UCCUCUUCCUCGGAACCUCACCAGGAGGAGCCAAGCCCCUCAGUCGAGCCCUUGAUUCGGAUCCGAGGCGCCAUUCCUCACGAAGGCAGCUGCGGACCACAUUGCAGUUCACACUGGGGCAGGUCAAGGAAAUGGAAAAAAUGUUCAAGAAACCCAGUACCCAGAUGCGCUUGCCAGACAUGGUUCGUCCAUCGGAGAGCAGAAGAGAGGAAGAGUGAGAGGGCUGUCGUAUUACAGAGCAUACCUCCUCGUAUUGAAAAGGUCCUUCUCCUUAGGGAAAGGGAUGACAAUCCCUAGAGUGCAAUCUAUGUUCAGGAGCAAGAGGGAAAUUUGGAGACACGUGUACUCAAUAUACAGCUUAACUAAAAUUCAGCACUCAUGUUGACAAUAAAAUCAUGAAUUUCCAAGUUA